rnacentral:rRNA from 1 species
UAGGGAAUCUUCGUCAAUGGACGAAAGUCUGACCGAGCAACGCCGCGUGAGUGAAGAAGGUUUUCGGAUCGUAAAACUCUGUUGUUAGAGAAGAACAAGGACGUUAGUAACUGAACGUCCCCUGACGGUAUCUAACCAGAAAGCCACGGCUAACUACGUGCCAGCAGCCGCGGUAAUACGUAGGUGGCAAGCGUUGUCCGGAUUUAUUGGGCGUAAAGCGAGCGCAGGCGGUUUCUUAAGUCUGAUGUGAAAGCCCCCGGCUCAACGGGGGAGGGUCAUUGGAAACUGGGAGAGUUGAGUGCAGAAGAGGAGAGUGGAAUUCCAUGUGUAGCGGUGAAAUGCGUAGAUAUAUGGAGGAACACCAGUGGCGAAGGCGGCUCUCUGGUCUGUAACUGACGAUGAGGCUCGAAAGCGUGGGGAGCAAACAGG